rnacentral:lncRNA from 1 species
UUCCCAGGCUAGGGGUCGAAUCAGAGCUACAGCUGCCGGCCUACACCACAGCCACAGCAGUGCCAGAUCUGAGCCACCUCUGCGAUCUACACCACAGCUCAGGGUAACGCUGGAUCCUUAAUCCACGGAGCGAGGCCAGGGAUCGAACCUCCGACCUCAUGGUUCCUCGUCAGAUUUGUUUCCGCCGCGCCACGACAGGAGCUCCCUGACUUCUUGACCUUAAUUUUUCCGGAUGGCAAUCCUGUUCUCUCAGGUACCGCCGGAUCCUUUCGUUACCUCUGAAACCGUGGAAAACAGAGCCACGUACGUGUCGGAGGACAGAAAUCACCCAGAGCCGUGGGACCAGAGAUGGCCACCGUGACAGGCUGCUAAAGUCCCCUCCUUGCUGCACGUGGCUGUGCAUAGUUGAGACCCUCCUGGGUGUGAUGUUAAGAGCGUAUCUUGCUUUUUUUCCUGCUUAGCUCAUGUUUUCAUAAGCAUUUUCCCAUGUCAUGAGACAUUCCUCGUGUAAUAGCAGAAGGGGAAAUGGGUAUUAUUAGCAACGGAUACCAGAAUUCCUUUUAGGGAAAAACUAAAAAACUUUUUUUUUUUAAGGAAACUGUUCUGGAGAAGCAUGGGGACUGACUUGCCUGUUGCUCCAGGGAGUCAGGAGCGGGCUGGUACCCAGGGGCUUUGUCAGACCCCUCUGCCCAUCCUCAACGAUGGCAGUCACCCAAAUCGUGAAAUGCGAGGGAGAUGUGGGAGAUGGGUUUAGGCAGCUCCGGGCAGGGGGCAGAGGCAGAAAGAAGCGCGUGGGGGCGGGCAAGGGAGCGCCUGGUGAUGAGCACGACUCGUGGGGGAAGCGCUGCCUGUCCAUAAGUUGUGAAAAGGACACUCAGGGCCGGUUAAUCUGCCAUCUGAGAGGGCAGGGGCGACCUCCUCCCUGGGCUGACAGCAAAUGUGUGUCCACCUCGGUCUUGUGAUGCUUGCCCCGUGUCCCAUUAAAUGACCGUAUCAUUUAAAUAGCACUCAGAACAGCUUUGUGUUCGGGUUCUUUCCUGGGGCUUUGAAAGCACGACGACAAAUGGGACAAGCAUUUUAAAGAAAUCUCUUACCUUGUCACCUGGCUCCUGGCUGUUCUGAAGCAUGUCUGCGACUGGGAGCCGUCUCUGCAUCCUCGCAGCUCCUGCCUGCUGCCGUUCAGGGUUUACUCCACACGCUGCUGCCUCCAGGAGGCUUUCCCCCAGCCCAGGUAGAAAUAACUUGUCUUCUAAACCCUAUAAUGGGAGUUCCCAUCGUGGCGCAGCAGAAAUGAAUCUGACUGGGAACCAUGAGGUUGCGGGUUUGAUCCCUGGCCUGGCUCAGUGGGUUAAGGAUCUGGCAUUGCUGUGAGCUGUGGUGUAGGUCAGAGAUGUGGCUCAGAUCUGGCGUUGCUGUGGCUGUGGCAUAGACAGGCCGCUGUAGCUCCAACGGGACCCCUAGCCUGGGAACUUCCAUAUUUAGAGUGGGUGUGGCCCUAAAAAGAAAAAAAAACCAAAUGGCUCGUUCGUCAUGGAAGGGCCUGCUCGUGGCGCCUUUCUGCCCCUGAAUUCACAGCUGGACCUCGCGCCCCGCGCCUCUGGGCUCCCUCGCCCAGCAGCCUGUCCGCACACCCGCAGACGCAGGGACGAAAAGGCACAAAGACGGACCCCGUUUUUUCCUCCUCUCUAGCCUCCGACACAGAGAAGUCAUCCGUGUGGCCUUGGAAUUGCCAAGGGCGGGAAAGGAGCUGCCUGUCCCGUGGCUCAGAAAGAAAAGGAGGCCUGGAAUUGACACCUUCCUGUCUCUUAGGCUCCGGUCACAUGUCCCAGCCCUGUUCCCAAGGGCCUGGGAGAUAACAGCUCAGAGUCCCUUGAAUUCAGCUGCACUCUCCUUCCCAGGUGGUUCUAGGGCAGGGCCUGGACGGGGAGAGCGGGCGGUACCAAGGACAGCGACCCCGGGGCUCUUCGUAGGGACAGACCGACCACAGAAGCAGGGCCAGGUGGUCCCUUUGCUGCUCAGUCUGAAGCCCCCCACGGGGUCCCUUAAUGCUGCCUCCCAUCUGUGCCACCUCGGGGUUAAUCCCGUCCUAAUCUGAGCUGUAAUCAUUGGUAAUCAGACAAGGCGCUCCAAAAUGCCCAGGCCACGGUUUUGCGGGGGUUUUGGGGGCUAGACUUUUCUUUUAUUGGAGCAGAGAGUAGCUGACCUAGAAAUCUCUCCCCCGCCCGAGCUUCCACCUUCUGCUAAACAAAAGCAGACGCGCCUAAGGAGCUCAGCACCCCCCCCCCGCCCCGCCCCCGCCCCAGGGGGAUUUCAGUCUCUGCUGAACAAUCAGGGUUGAGGCCCCCAGGAGGAGGUCACGUGAUCCUGCUCUUUGCUGCAAACUGAAAAAAGAAAAGAAAGAAGGGGGAAGCCUCCUGGUAUUAGCCUGGGCUAAUGAGCUCACGGGUGUGUGUCCCGGGAAACGUCCAGAAUGAAUUCAUCCAGUGAGAUAUCUGUGUUUUGAAAACAGUGCCCUUGUGGUGGAAACAUCAGCAGGAGCCGCGUGAAGCGGGAUCGGGGCUGAGCCCAGAGCACUCGGGGGGGCUGCGGCUUAAGCCACUGGGCCCUAAACAGGAGGAAGGUCUAACACGGAACCUGCCAAGGCCCAUCCCCCCGGCCCGCACGUCGCGUGGGUGAAGGUCCGUCUGACCAGGUCGAGGGUUUCACCUUGAACUAGGUCUCACGUUGGCGAGGCUCCUGGUCGCCCCCCAGGGCCGGCAUCAUGCUUGGUUCACACCAGCCCCUGGUGCCCAGCAGACACUUGGUCAACACCAGGGCGACGCAGCUAAGAUGCCACAAAGGCCCUUCCUGAGAGCCUGCAGGUGGCAGUAACCGCAGUCACGUGCUCAACUGAGUCUAUCGCAAACACGUACUCAGUGUAGUAUUAUUGUUACUGUUAUUUUUAGGCCCACACCCGCGGCAUAUGGAGGUUCCCAGGCUAGGGGUUGAAUCGGAGCUGCAGAUGCCGGCCUACACCGCAGUCACAGCCACGCCAGAUCUGAGCCACAUCUGUGACCUACACCACAGUGCGCGGCAACGCUGCAUCCUUAACCCAAUGAGCGAGGCCAGGGCUCGAACCCGCAACUUCGUGAUUCCUAGCUGGAUUCAUUUCCGCUGCACCACGACAGGAAUUGCCUAUGUCGGUGUCUUAACCCACCGAGCCACGACGGGAGCUCUUCUCAGUGUGUUUGCUUUCAACAGAAAACAUGCUCUUUGACGGAGCAGGUUAAAAGGUUUGAAGAGAGCUGGGAGCGGGCGAUGGAGACGGAGCCUUGAGAUCUGAGGCCCUGUCCUGUGGGCAGGGGACAUCAAGAACAGGGAACCACAUGGGGGCUCCAGCUUCCUCCCCAGGUGGCAGGAGGGCAGGUUGAGCGGGGGCGGAUGCUGCCCGUGUCUGCUCUCCUCUCCUGCUUCCUUCGCCAUCACGGGAGUGUGACCAGGCGCAGCCUCCAGAGACGUGCCCACUCGCUGCAGCUGGAUGCGCCCGUGUGACUUGAUGUCACGAACAGAACAUGGAAGGAAGUGACACACACCCAGGCUUGGGUCCAAGCUGCUCCCAGGAUUUCUUUCCCCUCUCAUCAGCCAGAUGACGACCCCGGGAGAGACAUGGGGUGUGACGCCUGAGUCCCUGCCCGGUGACGAGGGCGAGCCCCACGUCAUGGACCUGAAAACCCGCCUGGGCCUGGGAGGUGGGCAGGAGGCAGUUCUCUGCUGGGCUGAGCUGUUACACUGGGGAUCUCUGUUACAGGACUUGCACGGUUUCACGUGGCACAGUAUAAUGCCAAGGGAGGCGACCCACCAAGCCGUGUGUGUCCAGAGGGUAAGACUGUGUCCCCAGAAAGUGAGCCAUUGGCCUCUGACUGAGAAGAUGGAGCUGCCCCCCCCCUCUCCCCGCAGGGGAAGAACCACACCCUCACUCCCCAGAAGGCAGAGUCCAUUUCUGGGAGGUGGCCCUGGGGCAGCAGGACAGCCGAUGCUGUGUAGACAACGGCCUGACCACGUGCGCUGUUUCACGGGAACCUGUUGCCGCUCAGAGAGACACAGCGGAACUGGGGCCCCAGCCAUUCUGGUGGGGCACAGAGGAUUCAGUAACCGCGCACAGUGGGGGCUGGGUGGUACCAUCCCAGGUGACAGUGACAGUGGUUCAAAUGCAGGACACUGCAUAUUCAGGAAUUAUGUACAGACUUGUUGGAAAACAGACUCUGAGAGCAAGUGUGUUUGUUUUUUGGGGUUUUUUGGCCACACCCACAGUGUGGGAAACUUCACGGGCCAGGGAUCGAACCUGCACCAUAGCUGUGACCCAAACCACAGCAGUGGCCACGCUGCUAGGCCCCCAGGGAACACUGAGAGCAGGUGUGUUUGUGUGUUGCCUUUAGGGGUUCAGGGAUGGGACAGGGCUGGGAAAUUAGACCACGAGAGGUAGGCACAGAUGCAGGAAAAAAAUGUUUCACCUUUUGAAGUUCAGAAUAACCUUUGGAAGCCUGGGACUGACCCUCCGUUCGGGUCAGCACAAAGGACUGGGGCUGGGACCUGUCUCCCCUGUGGGCCUGGGAAGCUGACAGCCCCUGAGUGCCCCUGCGGCUGGUGGCAGGCAGGGGCGGGGUGGUGGUAUGACGUCGGGCGAGGAAGCCAGGGAACGCUCUGGAAGCUCUGAGACGGAAGUCGGAGGAGCUGAGAACAGGAGCCGAGACUGCGGGCGGCACCCAUGGAUGGGAUGAGGGGAUGCCCGGGGGGAUGCCUCGUUUGGCCGGAGACCACGUGGGCGAGAGGAAGGGCAGAGGGCCCGCCUGAGCUGUGCAGGAGGGAGGUUCAUGCUCACUGUCUGCUGAGAGGUCAGACCAUCCCUGAAUGUCACGCCACUUCUGGUCAAGAAGCCGUCGAGUUCCUUUGAGAUGAGCGGAAGCUGGCAGAGGGACUGCUUGGCCUUUGCCCGUAUUGUGUUCCCUUGGGCUGGCUCCUGCAUUCCUGGGCCUGGCCUCCUCAUCAACACCUGUGGGCUCGCAUCUAGACUCUGUCCCGGUUUGCAUCCCCGCCAAGAUUAGCUGAUCCCUGUGGCAGAGUGUGGCCUGCCCUCCUGUGUGUUCAUGGGCGCCCGAGGCCUGGCGUCUGGCCACACGCCCUCUGCUAUCCGACCUCAUUCUGUCUGUUUCUGGCUUCCCUGCAGCCACCUGGGUGCCGACAGCUUGGAGAGACCCUGCCCCACGCUUCGACGGGAGCCGGGAUCUGUCCUGUGAAGAGCUGCAGCCAGAGAGCAGACCAGGCGAGGGGGACAUCCCUGGGUUCGGUUCCCCCCCGACAAUCACACAAGGAUGCCAAGGCCUGGUCUCCAUGGCCAACCCCCCUUUUCUCUUGUUUGCUCUGGCUAGCAGUGGUACCGUCCCCUUAGUGCUGGCAGCUCCACAGCUGCCACCCGUGACCUUGAAAUCCAUCAAGGGCCGCCUCCACUUGUUGGAGAAGCCCGGGCCCAGUUUGAACCCACCACUGUGAAUGUCUGUGCCAAGGGCACUGGUGCCUGCACUGAAGAUCAGAGUUGAGGUGGGUGCUGUCACCGCUGCUGACAGUAGUGCUUGUCGUGGGUGGGAUUGUGACCCCCCCCCCCCCGCCGCCGCCGCCACAAAGAGAUGCUGAAGUCCCAACCCCUGGUCCCCGGGAAUGUGAGCUUAUCUGGAAACACGGCCUUUGUAGUUGUGAUUAAGGUGUAAGGAAAGGAGUUCCCCCAGUGCCUCGGCGGAAAUGAAUCCGACUAGGAACCAUGAGCUUGCGGGUUCAAUCCCUGGCCUCGCUCAGUGGGUUGGGGAUCUGGUGUUGCCAUGAGGGUCGCAGAUGCCGCUCAGAUCUGAUGUUGCUGUGGCUGUGACUCUGGCAUAGGUCAGCGUCUAUGGCUCCGAUUUGACCCCUAGCCUAGGAACCUCCAUCUGCCGUGGGUGUGGCCC